rnacentral:rRNA from 1 species
ACGCUGGCGGCACGCCUAACACAUGCAAGUCGAACGAAGUAGCAAUACUUAGUGGCAGACGGGUGAGUAACAUGUAGGUAUCUGCCCUUUGGCCUGGAAUAACACGAGGAAACUUGUGCUAAUACCGGAUAAGUCUUUACGGAGAAAGCUUUAUGCACCAUUGGAUGAGCCUGCACUUGAUUAGUUUGUUGGUGGGGUAAUGGCCUACCAAGACUGUGAUCAAUAGCUGAUUUGAGAGGAUGAUCAGCCACAUUGGGACUGAGACACGGCCCAAACUCCUACGGGAGGCAGCAGUGGGGAAUCUUGCACAAUGGAGGAAACUCUGAUGCAGCGAUGCCGCGUGAGUGAAGAAGGCCUUUGGGUUGUAAAGCUCUUUCGUCGGGGAAGAAAAUGACUGUACCCGAAUAAGAAGGUCCGGCUAACUUCGUGCCAGCAGCCGCGGUAAUACGAAGGGACCUAGCGUAGUUCGGAAUUACUGGGCUUAAAGAGUUCGUAGGUGGUUGAAAAAGUUGGUGGUGAAAUCCCAGAGCUUAACUCUGGAACUGCCAUCAAAACUUUUCAGCUAGAGUAUGAUAGAGGAAAGCAGAAUUUCUAGUGUAGAGGUGAAAUUCGUAGAUAUUAGAAAGAAUACCAAUUGCGAAGGCAGCUUUCUGGAUCAUUACUGACACUGAGGAACGAAAGCAUGGGUAGCGAAGAGGAUUAGAUACCCUCGUAGUCCAUGCCGUAAACGAUGUGUGUUAGACGUUGGAAAUUUAUUUUCAGUGUCGCAGCGAAAGCGAUAAACACACCGCCUGGGGAGUACGACCGCAAGGUUAAAACUCAAAUGAAUUGACGGGGACCCGCACAAGUAGUGGAGCAUGUGGUUUAAUUCGAAGAUUCGCGCAGAACCUUACCAACACUUGACAUGUUCGUCGCGACUUUAAGAGAUUAAAGUUUUCGGUUCGGCCGGACGAAACACAGGUGCUGCAUGGCUGUCGUCAGCUCGUGUCGUGAGAUGUUGGGUUAAGUCCCGCAACGAGCGCAACCCCCACUUUUAGUUGCCAUCAUUAAGUUGGGCACUCUGAAAGAACUGCCAGUGAUAAGCUGGAGGAAGGUGGGGAUGACGUCAAGUCUUCAUGGCCCUUACGUGUUGGGCUACACACGUGCUACAAUGGUAUUUACAACAGGAAGCAAAACGGCGACGUUAAGCAAAUCCUUAAAAAAUACCUCAGUUCGGAUUGCACUCUGCAACUCGAGUGCAUGAAGCUGGAAUUACUAGUAAUCGUGGAUCAGCGUGCCACGGUGAAUGCGUUCCCGGGUCUUGUACACACCGCCCGUCACACCAUGGGAGUUGGUUCUACCUUAAGGCAAGGUUUAAAACCCUUGACCACGGUAUAGUCAGCGACUGGGGUG